AGGUGGCGCUCCGGCCGUUGGGGAGACUGGCUGCGGCGCGCAGCCACCAGCGCCCCACCCCACAUGGCCCAAGGCCAAGGCAGAGGAACCGUCCUGGGCCUGGGACGGCUUUCCACCAACGGAAGGCCAGGAGAAAGAGGAACGUCUGGAUGCAGGUAGAGAGAUUAGGUGAAGGUGAAGGCAGAGUGCUUGCAGGCACCAGCAGCUGGAAACACUGAGGAACCUUCUUCCUGUAGGGCCGCUGGAGGGAGCAGACCAUCUUUCUCUCGGACUUGGGGCCUCCAGAAGUACGGGAAAAUAAAUGUCCGUUGUUUUAA